GAUGAACGCUGGCGGCGUGCCUAAUACAUGCAAGUCGAGCGAACAGACGAGGAGCUUGCUCCUCUGACGUUAGCGGCGGACGGGUGAGUAACACGUGGAUAACCUACCUAUAAGACUGGGAUAACUUCGGGAAACCGGAGCUAAUACCGGAUAAUAUAUUGAACCGCAUGGUUCAAUAGUGAAAGACGGUUUUGCUGUCACUUAUAGAUGGAUCCGCGCCGCAUUAGCUAGUUGGUAAGGUAACGGCUUACCAAGGCAACGAUGCGUAGCCGACCUGAGAGGGUGAUCGGCCACACUGGAACUGAGACACGGUCCAGACUCCUACGGGAGGCAGCAGUAGGGAAUCUUCCGCAAUGGGCGAAAGCCUGACGGAGCAACGCGGCGUGAGUGAUGAAGGUCUUCGGAUCGUAAAACUCUGUUAUUAGGGAAGAACAAAUGUGUAAGUAACUAUGCACGUCUUGACGGUACCGAAUCAGAAAGCCACGGCUAACUACGUG
rnacentral:rRNA from 1 species